GUCUACGGCCAUGCCACUCUGAACACGCCCAAUUUCGUCUGAUCUUGGAAGUUAAGCAGGGUCGGGCCUGGUUAGUACUUGGAUGGGAGACCGCCUAGAAAGACCAGGUGCUGUAGGCU
rfam:Pteropus alecto contig52559, whole genome shotgun sequence.